rnacentral:rRNA from 1 species
UACGUAGGGGGCAAGCGUUGUCCGGAUUUAUUGGGCGUAAAGAGCGUGUAGGCGGCCUGGAAGGUCAGCUGUGAAAACCCGAGGCUCAACCUCGAGACGUCGGUUGAAACCACCUGGCUAGAGUCCGGAAGAGGAGUGUGGAAUUCCCGGUGUAGCGGUGGAAUGCGCAGAUAUCGGGAGGAACACCCGUGGCGAAGGCGGCGCUCUGGGACGGUACUGACGCUGAGACGCGAAAGCGUGGGGAGCGAACAGG